rnacentral:rRNA from 1 species
UGGGGAAUUUUGGACAAUGGGCGCAAGCCUGAUCCAGCCAUUCCGCGUGCAGGACGAAGGCCUUCGGGUUGUAAACUGCUUUUGUACGGAACGAAAAGCCCUUCUCUAAUACAGAGGGGUCAUGACGGUACCGUAAGAAUAAGCACCGGCUAACUCCGUGCCAGCAGCCGCGGUAAUACGGAGGGUGCAAGCGUUAUCCGGAUUUACUGGGUUUAAAGGGUGUGUAGGCGGAUUAUUAAGUCAGCGGUGAAAUCUCCAGGCUCAACCUGGGAACUGCCUUUGUGACUGCAAGGCUGGAGUGCGGCAGAGGGGGAUGGAAUUCCGCGUGUAGCAGUGAAAUGCGUAGAUAUGCGGAGGAACACCGAUGGCGAAGGCAAUCCCCUGGGCCUGCACUGACGCUCAUGCACGAAAGCGUGGGGAGCAAACA